AUUGAACGCUGGCGGCAUGCUUUACACAUGCAAGUCGAACGGCAGCGCGGGCUUCGGCCUGGCGGCGAGUGGCGAACGGGUGAGUAAUACAUCGGAACGUGCCCAGUAGUGGGGGAUAGCUCGGCGAAAGCCGGAUUAAUACCGCAUACGACCUGAGGGUGAAAGCGGGGGAUCUUCGGACCUCGCGCUUUUGGAGCGGCCGAUGGCAGAUUAGCUAGUUGGUGGGGUAAAGGCCUACCAAGGCGACGAUCUGUAGCUGGUCUGAGAGGACGACCAGCCACACUGGGACUGAGACACGGCCCAGACUCCUACGGGAGGCAGCAGUGGGGAAUUUUGGACAAUGGGCGAAAGCCUGAUCCAGCAAUGCCGCGUGUGUGAUGAAGGCCUUCGGGUUGUAAAGCACUUUUGGCGGGAACGAAAAGGACUGUGCCAAUACCACGGUUCGAUGACGGUACCCGCGGAAUAAGCACCGGCUAACUACGUG
rnacentral:rRNA from 1 species